rnacentral:tRNA from 1 species
GCCUCCGUGGCUUAGCGGCAUAGCGCGGCAUUGGUAAUGCCGAGGUCCCGAGUUCGAUUCUCGGCGGAGGCU